GAUGAACGCUGGCGGCGUGCCUAAUACAUGCAAGUCGAGCGAACGGACGAGAAGCUUGCUUCUCUGAUGUUAGCGGCGGACGGGUGAGUAACACGUGGAUAACCUACCUAUAAGACUGGGAUAACUUCGGGAAACCGGAGCUAAUACCGGAUAAUAUUUUGAACCGCAUGGUUCAAAAGUGAAAGACGGUCUUGCUGUCACUUAUAGAUGGAUCCGCGCUGCAUUAGCUAGUUGGUAAGGUAACGGCUUACCAAGGCAACGAUGCAUAGCCGACCUGAGAGGGUGAUCAGCCACACUGGAACUGAGACACGGUCCAGACUCCUACGGGAGGCAGCAGUAGGGAAUCUUCCGCAAUGGGCGAAAGCCUGACGGAGCAACGCCGCGUGAGUGGUGAAGGUCUUCGGAUCGUAAAACUCUGUUAUUAGGGAAGAACAUAUGUGUAAGUAACUGUGCACAUCUUGACGGUACCUAAUCAGAAAGCCACGGCUAACUACGUG
rnacentral:rRNA from 1 species